rnacentral:rRNA from 1 species
AUUGAACGCUGGCGGCAGGCCUAACACAUGCAAGUCGAGCGAGCGGCGGACGGGUGAGUAAUGUAUGGGGACUGCCCGAUAGAGGGGGAUAACUACUGGAAAAGGUGGCUAAUACCGCAUACCAUCGGAUAACACAUAUGGGAUUGGCUAGUGGGUGGGGUAAAGGCUCACCUAGGCGACGAUCUCUAGCUGGUCUGAGCUGAGAAUCGGCCCACCUGGUACUGAGACACGGCCCAGACUCCUCCGGAGGCAGCAUUGGGGAAUAUUGCACAAGGGGCGCAAGCCUAAUGCAGCCAUGCCGCUUGUAUGAAGAAGGCCUUAGGGUUGUAAAGUACUUUCAGCGGGGAGGCGUUACCCGCAGAAGAAGCACCGGCUAACUCCGUGCCAGCAGCCGCGGUAAUAC